rnacentral:misc_RNA from 1 species
AAGUCGUAACAAGGUAACCGUAGGUGAACCUGCGGUUGGAUCAUUAAUAAAUGAUUUGGUUUCAAAACCAAAACACUGUGUGCAAUUAUAUCUGUCUCUGGUGGUUCUUUUUCCGUCAGAAAUGGCGGGGAAUCGCGACCACCGAAUGCAAAAACAUUUGUGUUAUUUUUUAUGUCUGAAUCAUUCACUUUUGUGGAAUGAAAAAACAACUUUUGACAACGGAUCUCUUGGCUCUC